rnacentral:rRNA from 1 species
AGAGUUUGAUCCUGGCUCAGGAUGAACGCUGGCGGCGUGCCUAAUACAUGCAAGUCGAGCGAACGGACGAGAAGCUUGCUUCUCUGAUGUUAGCGGCGGACGGGUGAGUAACACGUGGAUAACCUACCUAUAAGACUGGGAUAACUUCGGGAAACCGGAGCUAAUACCGGAUAAUAUUUUGAACCGCAUGGUUCAAAAGUGAAAGACGGUCUUGCUGUCACUUAUAGAUGGAUCNACCUGAGAGGGUGAUCGGCCACACUGGAACUGAGACACGGUCCAGACUCCUACGGGAGGCAGCAGUAGGGAAUCUUCCGCAAUGGGCGAAAGCCUGACGGAGCAACGCCGCGUGAGUGAUGAAGGUCUUCGGAUCGUAAAACUCUGUUAUUAGGGAAGAACAUAUGUGUAAGUAACUGUGCACAUCUUGACGGUACCUAAUCAGAAAGCCACGGCUAACUACGUGCCAGCAGCCGCGGUAAUACGUAGGUGGCAAGCGUUAUCCGGAAUUAUUGGGCGUAAAGCGCGCGUAGGCGGUUUUUUAAGUCUGAUGUGAAAGCCCACGGCUCAACCGUGGAGGGUCAUUGGAAACUGGAAAACUUGAGUGCAGAAGAGGAAAGUGGAAUUCCAUGUGUAGCGGUGAAAUGCGCAGAGAUAUGGAGGAACACCAGUGGCGAAGGCGACUUUCUGGUCUGUAACUGACGCUGAUGUGCGAAAGCGUGGGGAUCAAACAGGAUUAGAUACCCUGGUAGUCCACGCCGUAAACGAUGAGUGCUAAGUGUUAGGGGGUUUCCGCCCCUUAGUGCUGCAGCUAACGCAUUAAGCACUCCGCCUGGGGAGUACGACCGCAAGGUUGAAACUCAAAGGAAUUGACGGGGACCCGCACAAGCGGUGGAGCAUGUGGUUUAAUUCGAAGCAACGCGAAGAACCUUACCAAAUCUUGACAUCCUUUGACAACUCUAGAGAUAGAGCUUUCCCCUUCGGGGGACAAAGUGACAGGUGGUGCAUGGUUGUCGUCAGCUCGUGUCGUGAGAUGUUGGGUUAAGUCCCGCAACGAGCGCAACCCUUAAGCUUAGUUGCCAUCAUUAAGUUGGGCACUCUAAGUUGACUGCCGGUGACAAACCGGAGGAAGGUGGGGAUGACGUCAAAUCAUCAUGCCCCUUAUGAUUUGGGCUACACACGUGCUACAAUGGACAAUACAAAGGGCAGCGAAACCGCGAGGUCAAGCAAAUCCCAUAAAGUUGUUCUCAGUUCGGAUUGUAGUCUGCAACUCGACUACAUGAAGCUGGAAUCGCUAGUAAUCGUAGAUCAGCAUGCUACGGUGAAUACGUUCCCGGGUCUUGUACACACCGCCCGUCACACCACGAGAGUUUGUAACACCCGAAGCCGGUGGAGUAACCUUUUAGGAGCUAGCCGUCGAAGGUGGGACAAAUGAUUGGGGUGAAGUCGUAACAAGGUAGCCGUAUCGGAAGGUGCGGCUG